GUGCUCAGUUGAAGAGGACGACCAUCCCGGAUAGAGGAGGACCAGUCUUUGGUCAAGGGUAUAAAAGUAGCUGUGCCCGCUUGCUAGAACCUCCAAACAAGCUCUCAAGGUCCAAACAUCCAGCAGAUAAUUAGCAAUGGAUUAGAAAAGGGAGCUGGGAAGGU
rnacentral:sRNA from 1 species